rnacentral:rRNA from 1 species
CAGCCGCCGCGGGAAUACGUAGGUCCCGAGCGUUGUCCGGAUUUAUUGGGCGUAAAGCGAGCGCAGGCGGUUAGAUAAGUCUGAAGUUAAAGGCUGUGGCUUAACCAUAGUACGCUUUGGAAACUGUUUAACUUGAGUGCAAGAGGGGAGAGUGGAAUUCCAUGUGUAGCGGUGAAAUGCGUAGAUAUAUGGAGGAACACCAGUGGCGAAGGCGGCCUUUUGGCCUGUAACUGACACUGAGGCGCGAAAGCGUGGGGAGCAAACAGGAUUAGAUACCCCUGUAGUCCCUGUCUCUUAUACC